GACGAACGCUGGCGGCGUGCUUAACACAUGCAAGUCGAACGAUGAACUUGGAGCUUGCUCUGGGGGAUUAGUGGCGAACGGGUGAGUAACACGUGAGUAACCUGCCCUGGACUCUGGGAUAACUUCGAGAAAUCGGAGCUAAUACCGGAUAGGACCUGGCACCGCAUGGUGUGGGGUGGAAAGUUUUUCGGUUUGGGAUGGACUCGCGGCGUAUCAGCUUGUUGGUGAGGUAAUGGCUCACCAAGGCGUCGACGGGUAGCCGGCCUGAGAGGGUGACCGGCCACACUGGGACUGAGACACGGCCCAGACUCCUACGGGAGGCAGCAGUGGGGAAUAUUGCACAAUGGGCGCAAGCCUGAUGCAGUAACGCCGCGUGCGGGAUGACGGCCUUCGGGUUGUAAACCGCUUUUAGUAGGGAAGAAGCCUUCGGGUGACGGUACCUGCAGAAAAAGGACCGGCUAACUACGUGCCAGCAGCCGCUGUAAGAC
rnacentral:rRNA from 1 species